GACGAACGCUGGCGGCGUGCCUAAUACAUGCAAGUCGAACGCUUCUUUCCUCCCGAGUGCUUGCACUCAAUUGGAAAGAGGAGUGGCGGACGGGUGAGUAACACGUGGGUAACCUACCCAUCAGAGGGGGAUAACACUUGGAAACAGGUGCUAAUACCGCAUAACAGUUUAUGCCGCAUGGCAUAAGAGUGAAAGGCGCUUUCGGGUGUCGCUGAUGGAUGGACCCGCGGUGCAUUAGCUAGUUGGUGAGGUAACGGCUCACCAAGGCCACGAUGCAUAGCCGACCUGAGAGGGUGAUCGGCCACACUGGGACUGAGACACGGCCCAGACUCCUACGGGAGGCAGCAGUAGGGAAUCUUCGGCAAUGGACGAAAGUCUGACUGAGCAACGCCGCGUGAGUGAAGAAGGUGUUCGGAUCGUAAAACUCUGUUGUUAGAGAAGAACAAGGACGUUAGUAACUGAACGUCCCCUGACGGUAUCUAACCAGAAAGCCACGGCUAACUACGUG
rnacentral:rRNA from 1 species